AUUGAACGCUGGCGGAAUGCUUUACACAUGCAAGUCGAACGGCAGCACGGGUGCUUGCACCUGGUGGCGAGUGGCGAACGGGUGAGUAAUGCACCGGAACGUAUCCAAUAAUGGGGGAUAACGCACCGAAAGGUGUGCUAAUACCGCAUACGCCCUGAGGGGGAAAGCGGGGGAUCGUAAGACCUCGCGUUAAUGGAGCGGCCGAUGCCGGAUUAGCUAGUUGGUGAGGUAAAGGCUCACCAAGGCGACGAUCCGUAGCUGGUCUGAGAGGACGACCAGCCACACUGGAACUGAGACACGGUCCAGACUCCUACGGGAGGCAGCAGUGGGGAAUUUUGGACAAUGGGCGCAAGCCUGAUCCAGCCAUGCCGCGUGAGUGAAGAAGGCCU
rnacentral:rRNA from 1 species